GUAUAGUUCAGUGGUAGAGUGUGUGCUUUGCAUGCACAAGAUCCUGGGUUCACUCCCCUGUAC
rnacentral:tRNA from 1 species